CGGUGGAGCAUGUUGCUUAAUUCGAUGCAACGCGAAGAACCUUAUCCUGGGCUUGACAUGCUUGGAUGCCCAUCUGGAAACAGAGUAGGCUGCCUUCGGGUGAAACUUGCACAGGUGCUGCAUGGCUGUCGUCAGCUCGUGUCGUGAGAUGUUGGGUUAAGUCCCGUAACGAGCGAAACCCUUGUCGCUAGUUGCCAGCGAGUAAUGUCGGGGACUCUAGCGAGACUGCCGGUGUUAAACCGGAGGAAGGCGGGAUGACGUCAAGUCCUCAUGGCCUUUAUGCCCAGGGCCGCAAACGUGCUACAAUGACCGGUACAAACCGACGCAAAGCCGCGAGGUCGAGCAAAUCGGAAAAAGCCGGCCCCAGUUCGGAUUGGAGUCUGCAACUCGACUCCAUGAAGUUGGAAUCGCUAGUAAUCGCAGAUCAGCUAUGCUGCGGUGAAUGUGUUCCUGAGCCUU
rnacentral:rRNA from 1 species